rnacentral:rRNA from 1 species
CAGCAGCCACGGUAAAACGAAGGGUGCAAGCGUUAAUCGGAACUACUGGGCGUAAAGCGUGCGUAGGCGGUGAGUUAAGUCUGCUGUGAAAUCCCCGGGCUCAACCUGGGAAUGGCAAUGGAUACUGGCAAGCUAGAGUGUGUCAGAGGAUGGUGGAAUUCCCGGUGUAGCGGUGAAAUGCGUAGAGAUCGGGAGGAACAUCAGUGGCGAAGGCGGCCAUCUGGGACAACACUGACGCUGAGGCACGAAAGCGUGGGGAGCAAACAGGAUUAGAGACCCCCGUAGUCCCUGUCUCUUAUAC